CUCAGGUACUGGAGGUCCGAACCCACCAAUUUUGAAAAAUUAGGGGAUGAGCUGUGGAUAGGGGUGAAAGGCUAAACAAAUCCGGAAAUAGCUGGUUCUCCCCGAAAACUAUUUAGGUAGUGCGUCAUGUAUCACUUGCGGGGGUAAAGCACUGUUAUGGCUAGGGGGUCAUCGCGACUUACCAAACCAUGGCAAACUCUGAAUACCGCAAAGUGCGAGCAUGGCAGACAGACAGUGGGUGCUAACGUCCAUUGUCAAGAGGGAAACAACCCAGACCGCCAGCUAAGGUCCCCAAGACACAGUUAAGUGGGAAACGAAGUGGGAAGGCAUAGACAGCUAGGAGGUUGGCUUAGAAGCAGCCAUCCUUUAAAGAAAGCGUAAUAGCUCACUAGUCGAGUCGUCCUGCGCGGAAGAUGUAACGGGGCUCAAACUGUGCACCGAAGCUGCGGAUAUCGAAAGAUAUGGUAGGGGAGCGUUCUGUAGGUCUGUGAAGGUGUCUUGUAAAGGAUGCUGGAGAUAUCAGAAGUGCGAAUGCUGACAUGAGUAGCGAUAAAGGGCGUGAAAAGCGCCCUCGCCGAAAGCCCAAGGUUUCCUACGCAACGUUCAUCGGCGUAGGGUGAGUCGGCUCCUAAGGCGAGGCAGAAAUGCGUAGUCGAUGGGAAACAGGUCAAUAUUCCUGUACCGAUUCUAGAUGCGAUGUGGGGACGGAGAAGGUUAGGUCAGCCGGGUGUUGGACGUCCCGGUUUAGGCGUGUAGGCGUGCCCCUUAGGCAAAUCCGGGGGGCUGAGCUGAGGCGUGAUGACGAGGAACCACGGUUCCGAAGUGAUUGAUACCAAGCUUCCAGGAAAAGCCACUAAGCUUCAGUCUAGAGUUGACCGUACCGCAAACCGACACAGGUGGGCAGGAUGAAAAUUCUAAGGCGCUUGAGAGAACUCAGGAGAAGGAACUCGGCAAAUUAACACCGUAACUUCGGGAGAAGGUGUGCCCCGGUAGCGUGUAGAGACUUGCUCUCGAAGCGCGAUGGGGUUGCAGUGAAAUGGUGGCUGCGACUGUUUAAUAAAAACACAGCACUCUGCAAACACGAAAGUGGACGUAUAGGGUGUGACGCCUGCCCGGUGCCGGAAGGUUAAGUGAUGGGGUGCAAGCUCUUGAUCGAAGCCCCGGUAAACGGCGGCCGUAACAAUAACGGUCCUAAGGUAGCGAAAUUCCUUGUCGGGUAAGUUCCGACCUGCACGAAUGGCGUAACGAUGGCCACACUGUCUCCUCCUGGGACUCAGCGAAGUUGAAAUGUUUGUGAAGAUGCAAUCUACCCGCGGCUAGACGGAAAGACCCCAUGAACCUUUACUGUAGCUUUGCAUUGGACUUUGAACCGGUUC
rnacentral:rRNA from 1 species